CCCCAAUUUCUGUUCUGCUCGUCUCCUCCAUUUCCCAUCCCCGUCCUGCCGCUGUUCUAUGCAGCUCCUCGCAACGUGAAGCCGCCGCGCGUUGCCGCGAUACCACCGUUGCAGCCGGCGCCGGCAAGAGUAUUGACGCCCGCCGCCUGCUCGACGGAAUGCCUCCGGUGCAACCGGCCAAGAGGGCAGUGCCUCCGGUGGCUGGGGGCGGAGGCACCAUAAACGCCCUGCCGGACGGCGUCCUCCAGCACAUACUCGGCUUUCUGCCGUCUGCUAAGGCUGUGCAGACGUCUGUGCUCGCCCGGCGCUGGCGCCACCUCUGGAAAUCCGCCACAGGCCUGCGCAUCGGGCGCCCCCUUGACAAAGAUCCAAUGUCCGUGGAGGAGCUCCGGAGCCUAGUGAAUCAUCUGCUGGUCCUCCGCCAAGGCUCGCCUCUUGACACAUGCGAGUUCACAAUUGGAGGCUUCAGCGGCGGGGACGAUGUGCGCCACGUGAACCUCUAGUUCCGGCAGGCUGUGAUGUGCAGAGCUCGGAUGCUAAGGAUCUGUAUACUUGGUGACAUUCCAAGCGAUCCGUGGCUUGAACUAGACAACCUACCUCUUGUGUCUGAGCAGGCUGGAGCUUGAUGGUGUGAGGGUGCACAGCAGAUUGGUUAAUUUCUCAAGAUGUCCAACAUUGGAAUAUCUAGAGAUUGACUGUUGUGAUUUGUCUUUGGUCACUAAGAUCUCGUCUGACUCCAUCAAAUAUCUGCGAAUCAAUGAUUCUGUGCUCAGCAGUGAUUCCCGCAUUCACAUUUAUGCCCCAAAUCUGGCUUCACUGCAUCUUGAUUACCUCCGUGAGAGGACUCCCCUGCUUUAUAGCAUGCCAUUGCUAGUGGAGGCAGUUGUCAGAAUAGAUGAGGAGUGUACAGAUCGCUGCAAUGGUGCAAACCAUGAGACUUGCGACUGUGAGUCCUGUGAUAAUUCUGAUAACAUGGCUGAUGGUAGUAGCAACAGUGUUCUCCUGAAUGGUUUGUCAGAGGCUAAGAAUUUGGCGUUGAUUUCUAAAUCUAAAACGGUAUACCCACAAUUUCAUACCAUACCUCUCUGCUGAACUCUGAAUUAUCUCUUAUCAUUCAUGCGAUUUGAUAGAUAUCACAAGUUUAUUUUCAAAAGGGAUUUGAGAUGGUGCCCCAUGUUUUGAAAGCUAAAGACCUUGUUGCUCAAUGACUAUUGGUGUGUGCCUGAUGACUUCCGUUUAUUAGCUUGUAUCCUUAAACACUCACCCAUUCUAGAGAAGCUCACUCUUCAACUUCGCCCAGAGGUUCACACUUUAUAAAGGCCUAAUGCCUGCAUAGUAGAAUUAUUAGAUAUCAGUUGAUCCUACUGAAAUGUUUUUGUUCUGUGAGAUGACACAACCUAAAGCGGAGAUGAAACUAUGUGUCAGUUCGACAAAGAGAUCAGCUGCUAUUUCAGAAUACCUUAUGAAAGUGGAGCUCAAGUGUGAAGUAGUUGAUGAUAGCGUUCUCAAAGUUUUGAAGUUCCUGUCUACAUAUAACAUAUGCUUAUUAAUAAUGGUCUAAUUUUAGAACUGCUAGAAGGUGGCCACUGCCAAUGGAAAUGAUUUCAGCUUUGAGUAAAGACAAAGACAUAAAAGUUUGGCUGAUGAGUGUUGAUGGAUGUACUGUCUCACUGUUACGAAACACAUGUCCAAGGCUUCAUUGCAACUUCGGAUAAUCGGGUAUUUUUUUUGAGUAAUCUGGAGGGGCUUUGGCCCCUAUAGAUGAAGCUGGCAUAUUACGUCAUGUUUCUGAUUAUUAUGCUUCUAGCAUACUUCAAUUCUAGCAUUAGAAUGGAAAUACUUAUAUCUUGGAAGCUAAGAGGUUGAGAAGGAGCAAAUCGGAAAUUCUGUGGUAGCCAUUGCCAGAUAACAGGUAGCCAUUGCCAGAUAACAGGUACCCUUUUCGUUCUCUUAUCAAAGGAGGUCCUUAUCAAUCCCUCUCCCUGAGCUCGGCUGCCUUCUUGAGCCUCACUGCUGCGAGUCUGCUUGCCCUGCCCCGCACAACUCCAUCUGGCUGACCAACGAGGAACAUGCGCAGCCCUGCCCUGACUAGCUGCGUGCAGGAACACAUCUUUUGAAUGGUAUUGUUCAUCUCAACAAAUUAGAUACUCUCUGUUGCAGUGUAUCAGUCCCCUUUUCUUUUGCUAAGUAUGCAUGCAGCUUCAUAGUGUUUCACAAUCAUAAAGUAGUUGAACUUCAGUCCAUAAGUUCUAAAGUCAGAUAAUAGUAUUAUCCAGCAAAUGCAGACAUACCCAUGAACAUACUUAUUUUUAUUUUUUUUCUUAUCGUACUUCCUUUGCUAAUGUAUGUCUAUCUUAUAUAACUGCAGUUUUGAUUAUUGUUUGAAAAAUGUUUUGUUAGUGGAUGUGUUAAAAUUAGUGCUGAUUGUGGUGGACGAGGCAAUUCUGUGUACUCCAGCUCUACUGCUAAUACAACAAUAGAAUAUAUGUUCUAUUUUUAGUUAAGCUUAAUUUUUGGGCCGUUUUUCUUAUGGCCUCUCUUCAUUCCAUUCUAAAAAUUAGAUUACAUUAUCCAAACGCUAGCAGUCUCAGUGUCUGGUACAACAUUGUUAUUCCAGUCAGAGGCAAACAAUUGUUAUUCCAGUCAGAGGCAAACAAUUGCUAGGAUAUACUCCCUCCAUCCUAAAAAGAGUGUCGUUUUAGAAUUUCAGACAUCUUAUUUGACCAUUCGUCUUAUUCAGAAUUUUUACAUAAAUAUUAUAUAUUUUGUUAAGACUUAUUUUAUCAUUAGAGAUAUUUUGCUCAUGAUUAAUUUAUUUUGUAAUUUACAUAAAAUUUUUGAAUAAGACGAAUGGUCAAACAUGAUGUCUCAAAGUAAAAAACGUCACUCUUUUUGGGACGGAGGGAGUAUCUGUGUUUUUUCACCACACUUGUGCCUACUUUGACCGAUCCUCUGUUUUGCAAUCAUUUUGUUGUGGCUUCUGAUGUCAUUUUUUUAGGUUAUUGUUGGUGCUUCUGCCAUGUUGAGAAAACAUCCAAGAACAGCAUGAGUCCUUUCUGCUAUUAAAUAUAAUGCAUGGUUUGGUCUUAUUUUAAAUUAUCUAUUUGUUGGAGAUCCAUCAAAAUUAGACCUGAUUAACACAAAAAGGAGCCUUGCCAAUAACACAAUAAACCAACUUUGGAUCAAGGCUAUAGGCGAUGAACUCAUUUUUAAAUCGAGGCUUACAUUAUCAAUCAACCAAUUUUGAUCAAGGCUAUAGGCGAUGAACCCAUUGGUAUUUUUCUUAACAAAUAUCAGAAUUCACAAUUUCUGUUUUAAUUGAUUUACAAACUUUCAGGUUGCUUUUAUUUCCAAUGACAUUAUGAUUGUGUUUUUUUCAUUUGCACGUCAUGAGGCUGCUCCGAAGAGAUUGCUGCUGCAGGGCUAAGGCGGCUUUUGCAGCAACCCCACCCAGGAGCACUGUAGCUGAUAGAAGCAUAUCAAAGAAGCAAGAACUCCGACCACUGUACCAGAAUCACAGCGGAGCAACAGCUUGUCAUUCCCGUUUUAGGUUUACAUAGUGCCAACUGAACUGAAAAUUAUGGUAGUUAGAUCAUUUGAUUCUUUUUAGCUUCAUAUAUUAUCUACUUAUUGCAGAUGUUAAAUUAGCACUCACCUACGGUACUCAUUUAGUUGCUUAUACUAAAGACUUUUACCAUGGGUGCUUUUUUUAAAAAAAACAUAUAUGAUCACUUCAUCAUGAUUUAUUUUUAGUACCCA